rnacentral:rRNA from 1 species
GGAAACGAUCGCUAAUACCGGAUAGGACGAAGUUUUAAAAGGUGCUUCUGGGCACCGCUGAUGGAUGAGCCUGCGGCGCAUUAGCUAGUUGGUAGGGUAAAGGCCUACCAAGGCGACGAUGCGUAGCCGACCUGAGAGGGUGAACGGCCACACUGGGACUGAGACACGGCCCAGACUCCUACGGGAGGCAGCAGUAGGGAAUCUUCGGCAAUGGGCGAAAGCCUGACCGAGCAACGCCGCGUGAAUGAUUGAAGGCCUUCGGGUUGUAAAACUCUGUUAUAAGGGAAGAACGACUUUAGUAGGAAAUGGCUAGAGUGUGACGGUACCUUAUGAGAAAGCCACGGCUAACUACGUG